rnacentral:rRNA from 1 species
UGCCUCAGUAACGGCGAGUGAAGCGGCAAAAGCUCAAAUUUGAAAUCCCCCGGGAAUUGUAAUUUGAAGAGAUUUGGGUCCGGCCGGCAGGGGUUAAGUCCACUGGAAAGUGGCGCCACAGAGGGUGACAGCCCCGUGAACCCCCUUAACGCCCUCAUCCCAGAUCUCCAAGAGUCGAGUUGUUUGGGAAUGCAGCUCUAAGUGGGUGGUAAAUUCCAUCUAAAGCUAAAUACCGGCGAGAGACCGAUAGCGAACAAGUACAGUGAUGGAAAGAUGAAAAGCACUUUGAAAAGAGAGUGAAAAAGUACGUGAAAUUGUUGAAAGGGAAGGGCUUGCAAGCAGACACUUAACUGGGCCAGCAUCGGGGCGGCGGGGAGCAAAACCACCGGGGAAUGUACCUUUCGAGGAUUAUAACCCCGGCCCUUACUCCCAUACCACCCCGAGGCCUGCAAUCUAAGGAUGCUGGCGUAAUGGUUGCAAGUCGCCCGUCUUGAAACACGGACCAAGGAGUCUAACAAUCAUGCAAGUGUUUGGGCCCAAAACCCAUACGCGCAAUGAAAGUAACCGGAGCGAACCU